ACUCUUGGCAACAGAUAUCUUGGCUCUCGCAUCGAUGAAGAACAUAGCGAAAUGCGAUACCUGGUGUGAAUUGCAGAAUCCCGCGAACCAUCGAGUCUUUGAACGCAGGUUGCGCCCAAGGCAACACGGCCGAGGGCACGCCUGCCUGGGCAUCACACCAAAACACGCUCCCAACCACCCUCUUCGGGAGUCGGGAUGCGGCAUCUGGUCCCUUGUCUCGCAAGGGGCGGUGGACCGAAGAUCGGGCUGCCAGUGUACCGCACCGGAUACAGCGCAUGGUGGGCGUCCUCGCUUUAUCAACGCAGUGCAUCCGACGCGCAGCCGGCAUUGUGGCCUCAGAAUGACCUAGCAAAUGAAGCGCACGUCGCUUCGACCGCGACCCCAGGUCAGGCGGGACUACCCGCUGAGUUUAAGCAUAUAAAUAAGCGGAGGAGAAGAAACUUACAAGGAUUCCCCUAGUAACGGCGAGCGAACCGGCAGUAGCCCAGCUUGAGAAUCGGGCGGCUGUGCCGUCCGAAUUAUAGUCUGGAGAGGCGUCCUCAGCGACGGACCGGGCCCAAGUCCCCUGGAAAGGUGCGCCUGGGAGGGUGAGAGCCCCGUCCGGCCCGGACCCUGUCGCCCCACGAGGCGCCGUCAACGAGUCUUGUUGUUUGGGAAUGCAGCCCAAAUCAGGCGGUAGACUCCGUCCAAGGCUAAAUACAGGCGAGAGACCGAUAGCGAACAAGUACCACGAGGGAAGAUGAAAACGACUUUGAAAAGAGAGUCUAAGAGUGCUUGAAAUUGCCGGGAGGGAAGCGGAUGGGGGCCGGCGAUGCGCCCCGGCCGUAUGCGAAACGACUCUUGCUGGUCCGCCGCUCGGCUCGGGGUGUGGAUUGUUGUUGGCCGCGCCGGCGGCCAAAGCCCAGGAGGCCUUGGUGCCUCUGGUGGCCGUCGUCGGCACGGCCGGUACCCGCGCGCCGAAAGGCGUGUCCCUCGGGGCACUGCGCUGCAACGUCCUGCGGGCUCCCCAUCCGACCCGUCUUGAAACACGGAUCAAGGAGUCUGACAUGCGUGCGAGUCAACGGGUUCUGAAACCUAGGAUGCGCAAGGAAGCUGACGAGCGGGAGGCUCUAACGGCCCGCACCGCUGGCCGAGCCUGAUCUUCUGUGAAGGGUUCGAGUUGGAGCACGCCUGUCGGGACCCAAAAGAUGGUGCACUAUGCCUGAGCGGGGCGAAGCCAGAGGAAACUUUGGUGGAGGCUCGAAGCGAUACUGACGUGCAAAUCAUUCAUCUGACUAAUCGAACCAUCUAGUAGCUGGUUCCCUCCGAAGUUUCCCUCAGGAUAGAUGGAGCCCAUUACGAGUUCUAUCAGGUAAAGCCAAUGAUUAGAGGCAUUGGGGACGCAACGUCCUCGACCUAUUCUCAAACUUUAAAUAGGUAGGAUGGCGCGGCUGCUUCGGUGAGCCGUACCAUGGAAUCGGGUGCUCCAAGUGGGACAUUUUUGGUAAGCAGAACUGGCGAUGCGGGAUGAACCGGAAGCCGGGUUACGUUGCCAAACUGCAUGCUAACCUAGAACCCACAAAGGGUGUUGGUCGAUUAAGACAGCAGGACGGUGGUCAUGGAAGUCGAAAUCCGCUAAGGAGUGUGUAACAACUCACCUGCCGAAUCAACUGACCCGAAAAUGGAUGGCGCUGAAGCGCGCAACCCACACCCAGACAUCUAGGCGAGCGCCAUGCCUCAAUGAGUAGGAGAGCGCGGCGGCCGCUGCAAAACCCGGGGCACGAGCCCGGGCGGAGCGGCCGUCGGUGCAGAUCUUGGUGGUAGUAGCAAAUAUUCAAAUGAGAACUUUGAAGGCCGAAGAGGAGAAAGGUUCCAUGUGAACGGCACUUGCACAUGGGUAAGCCCAUCCUAAGGGACGGGGUCAUGGAGCCUGUGGCUUAAUUUGACUCAACACGGGGAAACUUACCAGGUCCAGACAUAGCAAGGAUUGACGGACUGAGAGCUCUUUCUUGAUUCUAUGGGUGGUGGUGCAUGGCCGUUCUUAGUUGGUGGAGCGAUUUGUCUGGUUAAUUCUGUUAAUGAACGAGACCUCAGCCUGCUAACUAGCUAUGUGGAGCCAUCGCUCCGCAGCUAGCUUCUUAGAGGGACUAUCGCCGUUUAGGCGACGAAAGUUUGAGGCAAUAACAGGUCUGUGAUGCCCUUAGAUGUUCUGGGCCGCACACGCGCUACACUGAUGUAUUCAACGAGUAUAUAGCGUUGGCCGGCAGGCCCGGGUAAUCUUGGCAAAUUUCAUCGUGAUGGGGAUAGAUCUUUGCAAUUGUUGGUCUUCAACGAGGAAUGCCUAGUAAGCGCGAGUCAUCAGCUCGCGUUGACUAUGUCCCUGCCCUUUGUACACACCGCCCGUCGCUCCUACUGAUUGAAUGGUCCGGUGAAGUCUUCGGAUCGCUGCGAUGGGGGCGGUUCGCUGCCCCCGACAUCGCGAGAAGUCCAUUGAAUCUUAUCAUUUAGAGGAAGGAGAAGUCGUAACAAGGUCUCCGUAGGUGAACCUGCGGAAGGAUCAUUGUCGUGACCUUGACCAAAAUAUACCACGCACGCGUCAUCCAAUCUGUCAGCGAUGGCACCGUCCGUCGCUCGGACAAUGCUUCGACCACCUCCCCUCCUUGGAGCGGGUGGGGGCUCGGGGUAAAAGAACCCACGACACCGAAGGCGUCAAGGAACACUGUGCCAAACCCAGGGGCAUGGCUAGCUUGCUAGCCGUCCCUCGUGUUGCAAAUCUAUUUAAUCCACA
rnacentral:rRNA from 1 species